UGGUGACCUUUACAAUUAUUGUGGAAAUCUGGGCUUUGCCCUCAGAUGAGAGUCAGGACGAUCUUACCGGUUCGUACCCUACGGACGGAAAUGGAGAUGGGAACGCUUGACUGCAGCUACGUUAGGAGGAUCUCACGGGGCGCGUGGAGAUCAGUCAGGGUGUUUAGUUGUUUUGUAAAAUUAUCAGACUAGGUUGUCACGGAGGGAACAGAUGUCCUUCUUUUGGGGUUGCGUUUAUUUUAAACCGGAAGACUGUACUGUUACUAUUAUUGUCAGUAUGACACCUUAGUUGAAUGGGUUCCUUGUAUCUUCUGGUUGUUGUUUAGAUACUUUGGAUGUAUGUAUUUGAGAAACUUUUUCCGCUGCUUGUAAAUUUUAAUGACUCAAUUAUUUAUCCAAAGGCU
rnacentral:lncRNA from 1 species